rnacentral:rRNA from 1 species
AUUGAACGCUGGCGGCAGGCCUAACACAUGCAAGUCGAACGAGUGGCGGACGGGUGAGUAAUGUCUGGGAAACUGCCCGAUGGAGGGGGAUAACUACUGGAAACGGUAGCUAAUACCGCAUACCAUCGGAUGGGGCCAGACGGGAGUGGCUAGUAGGUGGGGUAAAGGCUCACCUGGGCGACGAUCCCUAGCUGGUCUGAGAGGAUGACCGGCCACCCUGGAACUGAGACACGGUCCAGCCUCCUACGGGGGGCGGCAGUGGGGAAUAUUGCACAAUGGGCGCAAUCCUGCUGCAGCCAUGCCGCGUGUAUGAGGAGGGCCUUCGGGUUGUAAAGUACUUUCAGCGGGGAGGCGUUACCCGCAGAGGAAGCGCCGGCUAACUCCGUGCCAGCCGCCGCGGUAAUUC